CCCUGGCUAGUUCAGUUUGUAGAGCGCUCCACUGGAAAUGGAGAGGUCCCGGGUUCGAUACCCGGACCAGGUG
rnacentral:tRNA from 2 species